GACAGAGGGUGCAAACGUUGUUCGGAAUUACUGGGCGUAAAGCGCGUGUAGGCUGCUUCGCAAGUCGGGUGUGAAAGCCCUGGGCUCAACCUAGGAAGUGCACUCGAAACUGCGGAGCUGGAGUCCUGGAGAGGAAGGCGGAAUUCUCGGUGUAGAGGUGAAAUUCGUAGAUAUCGGGAGGAACACCGGUGGCGAAGGCGGCGACCUGGGUAGAUACUGACGCUGAGGUGCGAAAGCGUGGGGAGCAAACAGG
rnacentral:rRNA from 1 species